rnacentral:rRNA from 1 species
GAUGAACGCUAGCAGGACGCCUAACACAUGCAAGUCGAACGAACCAGCAAUGGUUAGUGGCAAACGGGCGAGUAACGCGUAUCUAACCUACCCUUGAGUGAGGCACAACUACAGAGAUGUAGCUAAUUCCUCAUACGUUCUAGAGAAUGAAAAUAUCUAGAAGAAAGAUUUAUCGCUCAGGGAGGGGGGUGCGUCCUAUCAGGUAGUUGGUGAGGUAAGAGCUCACCAAGGCUAAGACGGGUAGCUGGUCUGAGAGGAUGAUCAGCCACACUGGAACUGAGACACGGUCCAGACUCCUACGGGAGGCAGCAGUGGGGAAUAUUGCGCAAUGGGCGAAAGCCUGACGCAGCCACGCCGCGUGAGCGAUGAAGGCCUCGGUCGUAAGACUCUGUGGGAGGAGACGAAGAAAGACC